GACGAACGCUGGCGGCGUGCUUAACACAUGCAAGUCGAACGAAGAGCGAUGGAAGCUUGCUUCUAUCAAUCUUAGUGGCGAACGGGUGAGUAACGCGUAAUCAACCUGCCCCUCAGAGGGGGACAACAGUUGGAAACGACUGCUAAUACCGCAUACGUCCUACGGGAGAAAGCGGGGGAUCUUCGGACCUCGCGCUACCAGAUGAGCCUAGGUCGGAUUAGCUAGUUGGUGAGGUAAAGGCUCACCAAGGCGACGAUCCGUAGCUGGUCUGAGAGGAUGAUCAGCCACACUGGAACUGAGACACGGUCCAG
rnacentral:rRNA from 1 species